CCUACGGGAGGCAGCAGUGGGGGAUAUUGCACAAUGGGGGAAACCCUGAUGCAGCGACGCCGCGUGGGUGAAGAAGCGCCUCGGCGCGUAAAGCCCUGUCAGCAGGGAAGAAAAUGACGGUACCUGAAGAAGAAGCCCCGGCUAACUACGUGCCAGCAGCCGCGGUAAUACGUAGGGGGCAAGCGUUAUCCGGAUUUACUGGGUGUAAAGGGGGCGCAGACGGCGAUGCAAGCCAGGGGUGAAAGCCCGGGGCCCAACCCCGGGACUGCUCUUGGAAAUGGGUGGCGAGAGUGCAGGAGGGGCAGGCGGAAUUCCUGGUGUAGCGGUGAAAUGCGUAGAUAUCAGGAGGAACACCGGUGGCGAAGGCGGCCUGCUGGACUGCAACUGACGUUGAGGCCCGAAAGCGUGGGGAGCAAACAGGAUUAGAUACCCCAGUAGUC
rnacentral:rRNA from 1 species